UGUUAACUCCAUCUGAAGGUCAUGUGCAGUACAGGGCCAUGGUGAUAAAGUCUAAUUAAUUCAUUUAUAUUACUUUCUGACUAUUCUAUUUGCUCUAUAGUAGCGAUUCCCAUAAUUUCUUCUUGUGCUUCACUGCUUUUUUCCUCUUUCUCCUCUUUCUCAUCUCUGCCUCCUCAGGAUUCCUCUUCUCACCAGUGUCUCUUACCAUUUCCCUUGCUGCAACGCUGCAUCUCUUUCCUCCCUCCAACCACCUGGACCACCAGCCGCACACUCGGCUGAUUCUCCAUGCUUUGUCUGUAAUGUUGGACUUACUAAUGAGGCUGAAACUUCAGAUUUCGGAGCAGAGAAGAUGGUUUGGAGCAGAAGACCGGUGUGGAUAUCCAAGUCUGGACUGGGUUACCUCUGCAUCCGUCUCUGUUGCAAUAUUAGCAAGAACAAGCCAGGAUGGCGUGCAGAUUGUUUUAAUUUGCACUGGGGGACUGUCUUUGGAUCUAUGAAUAAGAAAGCAUCUUUAAAUACUCCCUGCUUCUACUGAGCUGAGUGCUCCUGAUUUCCAGCUCUGCAGUGCAUGUAUGCGCUUGGCCAGCAGGAUCAGAGCUGGGCCUGUAAGGCAAUCUUCCCUAACCAUGCCGUUAAUGUGUUGUAAGAUAUGGAGCUGUUUGUGCCUGAAAGCCUGAGCAGACGCCAAAUGAGCAUGCUAAAGGCAACACAAAACCCCAAGACAUUGUUUUCCAGUAUGUGAGCAGAAGCUUUUGGCUGCUGCAUUAGAGUUCCCCUCUGUCUCAUGUGAAGCUGCUGUAAAGCAUUUGCCAAUGCCUUGAUGUUCUCCCACCCAAAGGGAAUUAAUCGCCGGGAUGGAAUGAAGAGCGCAGCGCAGAGAGCAGGCAUGGUCCAGACCUCACAGGACUAAUUAUGUUCUUAAAGGUAGCUGCCUCUGAGAAAUUCAGGCUUUAGAAGCAUAGGAGGAGUCAUCAAGUCCCCUUGUAUAAACAGUUGCCAGGAAAGAAUGAAAAAACGAUGUUACUCGGGUGGCACAAGAAACCCUUCAGAAAGCAAACCUUGGAACCUUGGGGGAAUAGCGGUGCAGGGACUGAGUUGCUAAACUUAGUCACAGAAGCUGCUCUGGAAGAGCCUGCAAGAACAAAUGAAAAUGUAUCAUCACAACACUGAAUUAAGAGUCAAGGAAAAUAUUGUUGGUAAGAAGCUGGAUACACUGAAGAUAUUCAAGACUGAUGGACCAGAACCUCUUGCAUCCAUACCUAUGACAAAUAAAAAAGAAUGGGAGCUGCAUCUGAAUGUCACAGCCCGCUGCUCAAGAUGAUCAGGCAAGAGGAGGGAUUUAAGAGCAACAUCAGCCUCUCUUCUGUCCUGAAGGCUUGAAAAGCCCAAAGGGUCCCUAGUGCCCGUGGCACAGCUAGGCCUAGAGAGAGGUAUGUCCUGGCAGAGUUAAAAAAUAUGUGGAUCCAGCACAUUCACCUGGCCAAGUUUCACAAAUUUGACUAGCAGGGAAUGGCUGUCCAGGAGACCUCGAUGACCGAGGAUGACAGACUCGUUGCGGAUACACCAGAGGGUGCUAUGCUAGGCUCUGUAUUCAGAAAUCAAUAAAUGAGAGAUGAUCAGCAGCA